UGAGGAAUAUUGGUCAAUGGACGCAAGUCUGAACCAGCCAAGUAGCGUGCAGGAGGACGGCCCUAUGGGUUGUAAACUGCUUUUAUAUGGGGAUAAAGUGGGGAACGUGUUCCCUUUUGCAGGUACAAUAUGAAUAAGGACAGGCUAAUUCCGUGCCAGCAGCCGCGGUAAUACGGAAGGUACGGGCGUUAUCCGGAAUCAUUGGGCGUAAAGGGUACGUAGGCGGAUAAGCAAGUUAGAAGUGAAAUCCUAUAGCUCAACUAUAGUAAGCUUUUAAAACUACUCAUAUUGAUGUAUGGAAGGGACAGUUGAAUUCCUAGUGUAGCCGUGAAAUGCGCAGCUAUUAGGAGCAAUACCGGUGGCGAAGGCGACUUUCUGGCCCUAUACUGACGCUGAGGUACGAAAGCGUGGGUAGCAAACAGG
rnacentral:rRNA from 1 species